rnacentral:misc_RNA from 1 species
UCCCAAGCCUUCUGGCGAUCUCUUAAAAUAAAGCCUUAGUCUGUUUUCAACAAACAGAACGUUUAGACAUAUGUUUAAAUUCUUAUGUUCAGAGUUGGCGAUCCCAAGCCUUCUGGCGAUCUCUUAUAAAGAAAGCCCUCCAUAAUAAAUUGAAAAGGGUCCUUUGGGGAAAAGUUUUCCCUUUGCUAAGAUGAAGCCGGGGAAGGUUUUCCGGUUUAUCCCGGAGGGCUUGUAGCUCAGUUGGUUAGAGCGCGCGCUUGAUAAGCGUGAGGUCGGAGGUUCAAGUCCUCCCAGGCCCACCAAUCAUUCUAUCAAUCUAUAAGCGCUUGUGGAAAUUGCUCAUAGAAAACUUUCUUUAUUCAUUUAUGAAAAAUCUCCUUAUAGAGAGAGACGCUUUUCCCUUUGGGUUUGAAAACUCAAAAUUAAAGGUGUUAAAGUGGCUUUAAAGGAAAAGUGACAAAGGAUAAGGAAUAAUGAUUUAAGUUAUCCCUUUUUGGUGAUCUUGAUUUGGGUGUUUUGAAUGCGUUAUGUUUUUUAGGGGGGGCCGUAGCUCAGCUGGGAGAGCACCUGCUUUGCAAGCAGGGGCCGGCUCGUGUACGUUGAUGAAUAUUCUUGAGGCUGAUUUGAGAAAGCAUUAUUUAGGGGCCGUAGCUCAGCUGGGAGAGCACCUGCUUUGCAAGCAGG